rnacentral:rRNA from 1 species
AUGCAUGUCUAAGUACACGCCUUUACACGGCAAAACUGCGAAUGGCUCAUUAAAUCAGUUAUGGUUCCUUAGAUCGUACAAUCCUACUUGGAUAACUGUGGCAAUUCUAGAGCUAAUACAUGUCGCACAGCUCCGACCCUUGCGGGGAAGAGCGCUUUUGUUAGCCCAAAACCAACGCGGCGGUCGUUCACGCGGCCGUCGCUCCACUAUGGUGAAUCUGAACAACUUUGUGCCGAUCGCACGGCCUUUGCGCCGGCGACGCAUCUUUCAAGUGUCUGCCCUAUCAACUUUCGAUGGUACGUGCUAUGCCUACCAUGGUGAUAACGGGUAAC